UGUCGUCGAUGACGACCACCAAUGGUCCGGUAGCUUUAGAGGAUCGCCUUCGGGUAGCUACAAAAAACACUCCCGCAGCCUGAAAGGGAGAACGCAAAACGUGGUAAAUCUGCUCACCUUUGGAAGCGGAUAUCGUCUUUAACAGCGCAC
rnacentral:sRNA from 2 species